rnacentral:rRNA from 1 species
CCUACGGGAGGCAGCAGUGAGGAAUAUUGGUCAAUGGGCGAGAGUCUGAACCAGCCAAGUAGCGUGAAGGAUGACUGCCCUACGGGUUGUAAACUUCUUUUAUCAAGGAAUAAAGUGAUGCACGUGUGCCUUUUUGUAUGUACUUUAUGAAUAAGGAUCGGCUAACUCCGUGCCAGCAGCCGCGGUAAUACGGAGGAUCCGAGCGUUCUCCGGAUUUAUUGGGUUUAAAGGGUGCGUAGGUGGGUUGUUAAGUCAGUUGUGAAAGUUUGCGGCUCAACCGUAAGAUUGCAAUUGAUACUGGCAGUCUUGAGUACAGUAGAGGUAGGCGGAAUUCGUGGUGUAGCGGUGAAAUGCUUAGAUAUCACGAAGAACUCCGAUUGCGAAGGCAGCUUACUGAACUGCAACUGACAUUGAUGCUCGAAAGUGUGGGUAUCAAACAGGAUUAGAUACCCUUGUAGUC